GUCACUUUGCCGGAGUGGUUAACGGGAUGGCCUGCUAUGCAUCUAGCCAUUGGGCUUUGCCCGCGUGUGUUCGAAUCGCACAGGUGACG